rnacentral:rRNA from 1 species
ACGCUCGACACCUACGGGAGCAGCAGUGGGGAAUAUUGCACAAUGGGGGAAACCCUGAUGCAGCGACGCCGCGUGGAGGAAGAAGGUCUUCGGAUUGUAAACUCCUGUUGUUGGGGAAAAAGAGGAUGGUACCCAACAAGGAAGUGACGGCUAACUACGUGCCAGCAGCCGACGGUAAUCUGAGGCGGGCGUGGACGAAGGC